rnacentral:rRNA from 1 species
GACGAACGCUGGCGGCGUGCUUAACACAUGCAAGUCGAACGGUGAAGCGCCUUCCUUUUUGGUGGGUGUGGAUGAGUGGCGAACUGGUGAGUAACACGUGAGUAACCUGCCCCCUUCUUCUGGAUAACCGCAUGAAAGUGUGGCUAAUACGGGAUAUUCUGGGUCUGUCGCAUGAUGGGUCUGGGACAGAUAUUGUUUCGGUGGGGGAUGGGCUCGCGGCCUAUCAGCUUGUUGGUGGGGUGAUGGCCUACCAAGGCGGUGACGGGUAGCCGGCCUGAGAGGGUGGACGGUCACACUGGGAAGGAGACACGGCCCAGACUCCUACGGGAGGCAGCAGGGGGGAAUAUUGCACAAUGGGCGCAAGGCUGAUGCAGCGACGCCGCGGGAGGGAUGGAGGCCUUCGGGUUGUGAACCUCUUUCGCCAGUGAAGCAGGGCUGCCUCGUGUGUGGGUGGGUUGACGGUAGCUGGAUAAGAAGCGCCGGCUAACUACGUG